AUGCUGAGUGUGGAUUUAAAUUCUGACAAAGUACUUAAAAAGGGACAGGACACUCUGGACCUACUGGGAGAAAAUAGAAGGCUCUGUGCUCCUGAGGCAGCACCUCUUGGACUGGACGUGGCGAGCCUCAGGGCAGCCUGGUGGACCUGCCCCAAGCACAGCAGAGCCUCCAUCUUCCGAGCUGGGAACCACUGUGGGGUGAGUGCAUCUGUUCGGCCUCCUAACCUGCUCGGGUACAAACGCCAAGGCGGGAGGGUGGUCGUGGGUGUUGGAUUGGAAGCUCUGUAAGCACGUGAGGAGGUGUGGUUAAACAUUUGAGGACCUAACGCUUAAGAGUAUAGCUUUUUAUAAACCAGGGACCCAAAGAGCCAGGCCUCUAAUAUGCGGGGCUGAUACUCAGCCAGGACGCAUUGCUUUCCCUCUGUUGCUUGUUCACGGCUGGCCUCUGUUCUGACGGGCUGGCCUUGCUCUGAUCAGUAGAUGAGCCUUUUUGCAGCUUUACAAAGUUUUGUUAUCAUCCCUGUGAUUUGUGGUUUUGUGACGAUGGGCUCUCAAGGCCCCCUUAUUCCGUGCCAGUGACUAUGGGCCCUGCUGGGUCGCCCUCCUGCGGCGUGAAGGGGGCUCUUGCGUUCUUCACACAGACUUCACAGAACAAUGUGGUUUAUUGAUGUCCAUGAGAAUUUCAAAGUUUUAAGGUGUAUGUAUUGGGAACGGGAAGCAUCUGCGGAACUGCAGGUCAGAUCCUGGGCAAACGCGAGCUGUUCACGGAUUGUUACACCCGAGCACCCCAUUUUCAAUGUUCUUCCCGUCAGAUCACUUUAUAAAGAGCUUCCAGUGAUCCUGCCUUUAGUUAAAAAUUGAGAAUACAGGAGUUCCCAUCGUGGCUCAGCAGGUUAUGAACGAGUAUCCCUGAGGAUGCGGGUUCGAUCCCUGGCCUCGCUCGGUGGGUUAAGGAUCCGGCGUUGCAGCAGGCUGCAGCUUAGGUUGCAUGUGCAGCUCAGAUCCGGCUGCAGUGUAGGCUGGCAACCAUGGCUCUAGCCUAGGAACUUCCAUAUACCCUAAAAAGAAAAAAAAAAUGUGAUUUCAGCAGCCUACCGGGCACCAAGAAGACCCAGUCGGGCUGUCUAGGGUUUAGAUUCUGACUCACGUUAGUAGCUGCAUUUCUAUCCCUCCUCCAAAAUGUCACCAACUGCCAGCGCAGUGGCUGCGACAUUUUACUUCUCCCACUGUUCAGAGUUUGCCAACCCCUUCCCAUAUUUCGUACUCUCUCCAAAGCUCUCUAGUCUAU
rnacentral:lncRNA from 1 species